rnacentral:rRNA from 1 species
UGAGGAAUAUGGGUCAAUGGGCGCGAGCCUGAACCAGCCAAAUCGCGUGAAGGAAGACGGUAUUAUGUAUUGUAAACUUCUUUUGUAAGGGAAUAAAGAGGGUUACGUGUAGCCUAUUGUAUGUACCUUGCGAAUAAGCAUCGGCUAACUCCGUGCCAGCAGCCGCGGUAAUACGGAGGAUGCGAGCGUUAUCCGGAUUUAUUGGGUUUAAAGGGUGCGUAGGUGGGGAUUUAAGUCAGCGGUGAAAUUUUUUCGCUUAACGGGAAGAUUGCCGUUGAAACUGGGUUUCUUGAGGGUGUACGAGGCAGGCGGAAUUCGUGGUGUAGCGGUGAAAUGCAUAGAUAUCACGAAGAACUCCGAUAGCGCAGGCAGCUUGCCAGGCCAUCACUGACACUGAAGCACGAAAGUGUGGGUAUCAAACAGGAUUAGAUACCCUGGUAGUCCACACAGUAAACGAUGAAUACUAACUGUUUGCGAUAUACAGUAAGCGGUACAGCGAAAGCGUUAAGUAUUCCACCU